rnacentral:rRNA from 1 species
CAGUAGCCACGGUAAUACGAAGGGGGCUAGCGUUGUUCGGAUUUACUGGGCGUAAAGGGUGCGUAGGCGGAUUGUUAAGUCAGGGGUGAAAUCCCGAGGCUCAACCUCGGAACUGCCUUUGAUACUGGCGAUCUUGAGUCCGGGAGAGGUGAGUGGAACUGCGAGUGUAGAGGUGAAAUUCGUAGAUAUUCGCAAGAACACCGGUGGCGAAGGCGGCUCACUGGCCCGGAACUGACGCUGAGGCACGAAAGCGUGGGGAGCAAACAGGAUUAGAUACCCGUGUAGUCCCUGUCUCUUAUAC